AGCACAACACGCACAAAUAUAUAUAUAUAAUACUUGGCCAUCGGGGCCACCACAUAUACAAAUAUAACGUUACUAUAUAAACUUCCAUGACUUUACCCUUCCUUAUGUCUACAAAGCCUCUAGGAUAUACAUGACAUAACUAGGGUCGGGAUAAACCCCCGCCCACACAUGACUCAUGUACAAUAACAAAACAUAAGGAACCGACUCAGAAAGCUCCGAAGCAAACUGGAGCUCACCAACAAUAGCUGUAUGACCUGGCUCCUACUUGUGCGGUGUAUGAGCUGAGGUACCUGUGCCUGCAGCAUGAAAUGCAGGUCCCCCGUGAGGGACGUCAGUACGAAAUAUGUACUGAGUAUGUAAAGCUGUAAAUAAUCACAUAUGAUAUAGGAGCUCAAUAGAAAUCAGAAACAAGUGAAUAAGUCGUAAUAGGAGUGGACCACACUUACUAGAACUUGUGACAACCUGUACAUUGUAUUUAUUCAAUCACUUUACCUUCGUUCUUAUCGUCUUUGUAAUCAUUACUGUACUGUACUGUGACCAUUAGGAUGCCUCCAGUACAUAUCAACUGGGAUCGACCCAUGCUAGGCUUAUGCCCCUGGGAUACCACCCAUAAACACAUGAAAUAGGGAUCGACCCAUGCUAGGCUUAUGCCCCUGGGAUACCACCCGAUAAGAGAGAACUUUCAUCACUUAGUUCAAUUAAUCUUUGAGAUUGUUAUUUCGGUCGCCUCCACAUUUUUAAUACUUUGAAACAAUGAUACAUCAAUAGGAACCAAGUAAUAGACCUUCUAUACAAUAACGAUGUAAUAAAGACUCAUUGGUACAUCAACAAUGUGUUUCAGAAUCAUCAAUAUCACAACAAUGAAAUAAGAGCCUUUUGGUAUAUCAAUGAACAUUUUGACACUUUAUAGGAUGGAAACAACUUCGUUGGUAACGUAGAACAAUACAUGUUUUUGGACAACCUCGGAAUCUUACUUGAUGGAACAUUGGUGUUUUCAUGCCAAAGAACAUUGUUAGAGUAUGCUUUACAUACCUCGUUGUAGAUUCAGAUACCAAUUCAACACAACUUCCCGCCUUUACAAAUCACUUAUCUACAAUGAAAUGUUUGGCAUCUAGUAUUAGCAACCCAACACCACAAUUCUCUUCCAUAAUUCCAUACUACCAAUAUUUGCAAAACAUUCCAAAAACCAACUUGAACAAUAGGUUUAUGUGUGUAUAUAUAUAUAAUCAUCAUUUCAAUACCACAUCAUCAAUACUACAUCAUCACCCCAAAUUCCUUCACAAUUUAACAUAAUCCAACCAUGCACAAGAAUAAUCCAACAUCAUUUCCAAUCAUCUUUCAACAACAAUCAAAUAACAUACUUCUUAUGCUCACAUGCAUAUAUAUAUAUAUACAUAUCCAUAUAAAUAACACCAACAUAAUUUACAUCCUUACCAAAAAAAUGGCCCUUUUGAUUUCGA
rnacentral:lncRNA from 1 species